rnacentral:rRNA from 1 species
CAGGCCUAACACAUGCAAGUCGAACGAGAAAGCCCCUUCGGGGGUGAGUACAGUGGCGGACGGGUGAGUAACACGUGGGUUACCUGCCCUUGAGUGGGGAAUAACCCCGGGAAACUGGGGCUAAUACCGCAUACGACCCUUCGGGGUGAAAGCUUUAUGCGCUCGAGGAUGGGCCCGCGGUCGAUUAGCUUGUUGGUGGGGUAAUGGCCUACCAAGGCUGCGAUCGAUAGCCGGCCUGAGAGGGCACACGGCCACACUGGCACUGAGACACGGGCCAGACUCCUACGGGAGGCAGCAGUGGGGAAUCUUGGACAAUGGGGGAAACCCUGAUCCAGCGACGCCGCGUGAUCGAUGAAGGCCUUCGGGUCGUAAAGAUCUUUCAGCGGGGACUAUGAUGAAGGUACCCGCAGAAGCAGGAGCGGCUAACUACGUGCCAGCAGCCGCGGUAAUACGUAGGCUCCAAGCGUUGUUCGGAAUUACUGGGCGUAAAGCGAGUGUAGGCGGUUCGCCAAGUCGAUUGUGAAAUCUCCCGGCUCAACUGGGAGGGUGCGGUCGAUACUGGCGAGCUAGAGUGCGGAAGAGGAAGGCAGAAUUCCUGGUGUAGCGGUGGAAUGCGUAGAUAUCAGGAGGAAUACCGGUGGUGAAGACGGCCUUCUGGGCCGCAACUGACGCUGAGACUCGAAAGCGUGGGGAGCAAACAGGAUUAGAUACCCUGGUAGUCCACGCCCU